CCUGGUGGUUCUAGCGAGGAGCCCCAACCCGAUCCCAUUCCGAACUCGGCCGUUAAAUUCCUCAGCGCCAAUGGUACUCCGUCUCAAGACGCGGGAGAGUAGGUCGCUGCCAGGCCUGCAAAGGACAAAUUCCCCUCUUCACAA
rnacentral:rRNA from 1 species